UUACUAACCACACUUCUAUUCAAUUGUCAUUUUUUGUACCAUUUAAGUUAAGAUCUAAACAUUCAUAGCAUCAAGACUCUAAUGUUUGCAUUGCUUCCAACUUCCAUCCUAAUAACAUUGCUCAUUACUGUUCAUCAUCUUUUAAGUAUACUAUUCCAUAAAUUCUUCUUUUUUACUGUAUUUAAAUCCAAUCCCACUUCAAAAGCCUCGUAUUAUCAUCCCACCAUAUUGAUGCUCCACUCCAUGUACUUAUUAUAAUUCUAAUG
rnacentral:lncRNA from 1 species